GGCAUAUCAAUAAGGGGAGGAAAAGAAACUAACAAGGAUUCCCCUAGUAACUGCGAGUGAAGCGGGAAAAGCUCAAAUUUGAAAUCUGGCGGUCUUCUGGUCGUCCGAGUUGUAAUCUAGAGAAGCGUCUUCCGCGCUGGACCGUGUACAAGUCUCCUGGAACGGAGCGUCGUAGAGGGUGAGAAUCCCGUCUUUGACACGGACUGCCAGUGCUUUGUGAUGCGCUCUCGAAGAGUCGAGUUGUUUGGGAAUGCAGCUCAAAAUGGGUGGUGAAUUCCAUCUAAAGCUAAAUAUUGGCGAGAGACCGAUAGCGAACAAGUACCGUGAGGGAAAGAUGAAAAGCACUUUGGAAAGAGAGUUAAACAGUACGUGAAAUUGCUGAAAGGGAAACGCUUGAAGCCAGUCGCGUCGGCCGGGACUCAGCCUUGCAUUUUCGCUUGGUGUACUUUCUGGUCGACGGGCCAGCAUCAAUUUUGAUCGUCGGAUAAAGGCUGGGGAAAUGUGGCACCUUCGGGUGUGUUAUAGUCUUCUGUCGCAUGCGUCGGUCGGGAUUGAGGAACUCAGCACGCCUUUAUGGUCGGGGUUCGCCCACGUUUCGUGCUUAGGAUGCUGGCGUAAUGGCUUUAAUCGACCCGUCUUGAAACACGGACCAAGGAGUCUAACAUGCCUGCGAGUGUUCGGGUGGAAAACCCGUGCGCGUAAUGAAAGUGAAAGUUGGGACCUCUGUCGUGGAGGGCACCGACGCCCGGACCUGACCUUCUGUGACGGAUCUGCGGUAGAGCAUGUAUGUUGGGACCCGAAAGAUGGUGAACUAUGCCUGAAUAGGGCGAAGCCAGAGGAAACUCUGGUGGAGGCUCGUAGCGAUUCUGACGUGCAAAUCGAUCGUCAAAUUUGGGUAUAGGGGCGAAAGACUAAUCGAACCAUCUAGUAGCUGGUUCCUGCGA
rnacentral:rRNA from 1 species